GGCGAGAUAGCUCAGUUGGUAGAGCAGCGGACUGAAAAUCCGCGUGUCCCCAGUUCGACUCUGGGUCUCGCCACCA
rnacentral:tRNA from 2 species